rnacentral:rRNA from 1 species
UACGUAGGGUGCGAGCGUUGUCCGAAAUUACUGGGCGUAAAGAGCUCGUAGGUGGUUUGUCGCGUUGUUCGUGAAAACUCACAGCUCAACUGUGGGCGUGCGGGCGAUACGGGCAGACUGGAGUACUGCAGGGGAGACUGGAAUUCCUGGUGUAGCGGUGGAAUGCGCAGAUAUCAGGAGGAACACCGGUGGCGAAGGCGGGUCUCUGGGCCGAUACUGACGCUGAGGAGCGAAAGCGUGGGGGAGCGAACAGG